rnacentral:rRNA from 1 species
AGUGAACGCUGGCGGUAGGCCUAACACAUGCAAGUCAAACGGCAGCACAGUAAGAGCUUGCCCUUACGGGUGGCGAGUGGCGGACGGGUGAGGAAUACAUCGGAAUCUACUUUUUCGUGGGGGAUAACGUAGGGAAACUUACGCUAAUACCGCAUACGACCUACGGGUGAAAGCAGGGGAUCUUCGGACCUUGCGCGAUUGAAUGAGCCGAUGUCGGAUUAGCUAGUUGGCGGGGUAAAGGCCCACCAAGGCGACGAUCCGUAGCUGGUCUGAGAGGAUGAUCAGCCACACUGGAACUGAGACACGGUCCAGACUCCUACGGGAGGCAGCAGUGGGGAAUAUUGGACAAUGGGCGCAAGCCUGAUCCAGCCAUACCGCGUGGGUGAAGAAGGCCUUCGGGUUGUAAAGCCCUUUUGUUGGGAAAGAAAAGCAGCGGGUUAAUACCCCGCUGUUCUGACGGUACCCAAAGAAUAAGCACCGGCUAACUUCGUG